rnacentral:rRNA from 1 species
CCUGAGAAACCCGAAAGAUCGAAUGGGGAGAUUCACCGUAAGCGACUUCGGCUUCGCGAUGGUGCGCGAUGCGCGCGACGCCCCUCGCGGGGUGGUUGCGCCGCACGGCGCCAACGCGGACUCAUGCCCGAACGUCGUCGACGUGCACUUCUCCCCUAGUAGGACGUCGCGACCCGUUGGGUGUCGGUCUACGGCCCGGUGCGCCGCCUGUCCCGGACGCUUCGGCGUCGCGGGGCAGACGCCCGGACUCGCCCGACCGGCUGCCCGGCGGUAUGCCCACGGUAUACGGCCGCACUCCGCUCUCUCUCCUCUCGGGGGGAGGGAGCAGCCAGUGCGUCUCUCAGGCCCGCCGCAAGCGCGGUCAGUUUUACUCCCGGAGGUCACGGACCAAGCGCCGUCCCCGGGACUGGCCCGCUGUUCGCCGGCGGACGUCCUCUGACAGGCCGCGAAAUCGCAUUACCGGUCGGCGACGCUAAUGCUUUGGGUACUUUCAGG